rnacentral:rRNA from 1 species
GAUGAACGCUGGCGGCGUGCCUAAUACAUGCAAGUCGAGCGAACAGAUAAGGAGCUUGCUCCUUUGACGUUAGCGGCGGACGGGUGAGUUACACGUGGAUAACCUACCUAUAAGACUGGGAUAACUACGGGAAACCGGAGCUAAUACCGGAUAACAUAUUGAACCGCAUGGUUCAAUAGUGAAAGGCGGCUUUGCUGUCACUUAUAGAUGGAUCCGCGCCGUAUUAGCUAGUUGGUAAGGUAACGGCUUACCAAGGCAACGAUACGUAGCCGACCUGAGAGGGUGAUCGGCCACACUGGAACUGAGACACGGUCCAGACUCCUACGGGAGGCAGCAGUAGGGAAUCUUCCGCAAUGGGCGAAAGCCUGACGGAGCAACGCCGCGUGAGUGAUGAAGGUCUUCGGAUCGUAAAACUCUGUUAUCAGGGAAGAACAAAUGUGUAAGUAACUGUGCACAUCUUGACGGUACCUGAUCAGAAAGCCACGGCUAACUACGUG